rnacentral:rRNA from 1 species
AAAGAUCUAAAUUUAUUAGAUAGUUCUUGUGUCAAAAAGAUUUUGAAAAUAAAUUUAGGUGUGAAAUUCUAAUCGCUUUUAUUAAUAUCUAGUUACUUCAGAAAUAAAUUUAGUUUAAAAUGAAAAGAAAGUCUUUAUUUUAAAGAUGUUUUAAAAUCAUUUUUAGAUUUUAGGGGAUGAGCUCUAAAAUUAAUAUAUAAGAAUUGUUUUUAAUUAGUUUUUUAUAGGCUUAGAAUUAGCCAUUAGAAAUUGUUAUAAAAUAUAAUAAUAAGUUUAUGAUUUAAUAAAUUCUUUUUUCCUUAUGAAGUUAACUUAAAAAUUUUAACAUAAUUGAAAAUAUGAUAACAUUAGUAGAUCUUUUAAAUCAAGAGUAUUAUCCAAGUAAAUCAUUGCUAGUUAAUCGUAGAAAACUUGACAAAAGAACUCGGCAAAUAUAAUUUUCGAAUGUUUAACAAAAACAUUUCCUCUUAGAUAAAGAGGUAAGGCCUGCUCACUGAUUAAUUAAAGAGCCGCAGUAUCCUAACUGUGCUAAGGUAGCAUAAUCAUUAGUCUUUUAAUUGGAGACUGGUAUGAAUGGCUAAACGAAAAAUUAACUUUUUUUGUCAUGAAUAUUGAAUUUAAUUUUUUAGUGAAAAAGCUAAAAUAAAUUAGAAAGACGAGAAGACCCUAUAGAGUUUUAUAUUAAGAUAAAUUUUUUCUUAUUAGAUUUUUAUAGAUAAAGUUUAAAAUAGUAUUUUGUUGGGGCGACAUUAAGAUAAACAAAACUCUUUAUUUUAAAAAUUUUAAUUAAAAUAUAGUUUGACCCUUUUAAAAAGAUCAAAAGAAAAAAUUACCUUAGGGAUAACAGCGUAAUCUUUUUUGAGAGUUCUAAUCGACAAAAAGGUUUGCGACCU